rnacentral:tRNA from 1 species
CCCUCUCUCUCUCUGGUAGAGCGCACGACUGUUAAUCGUAAGGUCAUGGGUUCGAUCCCCAUUGGGAGAGU